rnacentral:rRNA from 1 species
AUUGAACGCUGGCGGCAUGCCUUACACAUGCAAGUCGAACGGCAGCACGGGUGCUUGCCCCUGGUGGCGAGUGGCGAGCGGGUGAGUAAUACAUCGGAACAUGUCCUGUAGUGGGGGAUAGCCCGGCGAAAGCCGGAUUAAUACCGCAUACGAUCUACGGAUGAAAGCGGGGGACCUUCGGGCCUCGCGCUAUAGGGUUGGCCGAUGGCUGAUUAGCUAGUUGGUGGGGUAAAGGCCUACCAAGGCGACGAUCAGUAGCUGGUCUGAGAGGACGACUAGCCACACUGGGACUGAGACACGGCCCAGACUCCUACGGGAGGCAGCAGUGGGGAAUUUUGGACAAUGGGCGAAAGCCUGAUCCAGCAAUGCCGCGUGUGUGAAGAAGGCCUUCGGGUUGUAAAGCACUUUUGUCCGGAAAGAAAUCCUUGGCCCUAAUACGGUCGGGGGAUGACGGUACCGGAAGAAUAAGCACCGGCUAACUACGUG